rnacentral:rRNA from 1 species
GACGAACGCUGGCGGCGUGCUUAACACAUGCAAGUCGAACGGAAAGGCCCUGCUUUUGUGGGGUGCUCGAGUGGCGAACGGGUGAGUAACACGUGAGUAGCCUGCCCUUGACUUUGGGAUAACUUCAGGAAACUGGGGCUAAUACCGGAUAGGAGCUCCUGCUGCAUGGUGGGGGUUGGAAAGUUUCGGCGGUUGGGGAUGGACUCGCGGCUUAUCAGCUUGUUGGUGGGGUAGUGGCUUACCAAGGCUUUGACGGGUAGCCGGCCUGAGAGGGUGACCGGCCAAAUUGGGACUGAGAUACGGCCCAGACUCCUACGGGAGGCAGCAGUGGGGAAUAUUGCACAAUGGGCGGAAGCCUGAUGCAGCAACGCCGCGUGCGGGAUGACGGCCUUCGGGUUGUAAACCGCUUUCGCCUGUGACGAAGCGUGAGUGACGGUAAUGGGUAAAGAAGCACCGGCUAACUACGUG